UUUUAUCGUUUUAAUAUCAAAAUGCGAUCAAUAGAAUAGUUGAAUUUUGUGAACAACAGCUUAUUUCAGGGUUAAACUGAUUUGUUUUUAGAAAAUUUGACCACUGUUUAAUCUGUUUCGCUAUCCAAUAUGGCCACCGGAUUAGAUAAUUAAAGCAGGGAUUUAGACUGGGAGGUUACGAGUUUGAUUUUGAUUUCUAAACUGUAUAUUUUUUUUAAUUAAUAAUUUGUUUGAAAAAUGCAAAAAAAUGAAAAGGGCAUUUCUUAAAUUUGUUAAUCAUAUAUAACUUCCCUUUAGGGUAAAAAAGACACCGCGUUAAAAUAACGACAUUUAAACAUCGAAGAUGUCAAUGUAUUACUAUUACAGCCCCUGGACAUGGUCGUACUAAAGGAUUAAUCAGUGUGUGUGACACGACCUAUGUAUGCUUGAUUGGUCAACUGAUUGGACUUUAUAAUCUUGAGCGAUCUCAAUUAUCACUUAAAAUCAGGGGUGCGAAAGAUCAUAUCGACAAGACACACUAUUUUAUCAACAUGCAGGGGCUGUAGAUAUUACUAAAUAAUAAAGGACAGUGGAAAGCGUGUUUUAAUCUUCCAGAAAUGCAACUGUGCCCUCUUUACAGCAAUUAUAGAUGAAGCAAAGUAUGGAAGCAAGUUAUAUAGAUAUACACACAUGCCGAAGAAGAUUGUAAUAUCUGGAGAAAACAUUUCCUUCGUCAAGAAAUAGACACCGUUACACUGGUCUACGUAACAUUCCUAUUAUAGAUGAUUGAUAUAUUUAAGUGCUUUUAAGAACAGUGUUUGAAUGUCGAAUUUCUGUGAAUACGGAUUUUUAGUUUUAAUGGUUAUUAUUAAAACUUUCUGUUAUAAUCAAUUUGUGCUAUGGACUCAUUUUCCUAAAAUAAUAUGUGAAUGUUAACACGAAAAAAAUGAUAUUAAUAUCUUUAAAAUGUUUUAUGGCUGUAAUAUAAGUGGCUCAUAAAAAUCAUUGUUAAGAUAAUCAGAAAAGAAAGUCAAGUUGGUAUAGUUUGUUCUAGAUUUAAACAACAUGCAAUUCAUAAAGGUUACGGCUUGAAAAUAUCGAAACAUGUACAUGUAUAAUUCGAUCUUUGAAGAAAAUAUCGCGAUGAGGAUGUUCUGCACUGUGAUACGUAUUACAUGACUCUGUAUCGCAACAUACCGGUAUAUCGCUAUUCCGUUGCAACGCUACAUUAAUGUGUCCCUCUAGAAUAAGGCUUACAACAAUAUAUGACUGUUGAAGCGAAGACAUGUUUAUUUUGUUUAAUAUAUGUAUACAUAUUGAAUAUAUGUUUAAGAAAUAAUAAAUAUUUAAGAGUGA